AGGGAAUUUUCGGCAAUGGGGGAAACCCUGACCGAGCAACGCCGCGUGAAGGAAGAAGUAAUUCGUUAUGUAAACUUCUGUCAUAGAGGAAGAACGGUGGAUAUAGGGAAUGAUAUCCAAGUGACGGUACUCUAUAAGAAAGCCACGGCUAACUACGUGCCAGCAGCCGCGGUAAUACGUAGGUGGCGAGCGUUAUCCGGAAUUAUUGGGCGUAAAGAGGGAGCAGGCGGCACUAAGGGUCUGUGGUGAAAGAUCGAAGCUUAACUUCGGUAAGCCAUGGAAACCGUAGAGCUAGAGUGUGUGAGAGGAUCGUGGAAUUCCAUGUGUAGCGGUGAAAUGCGUAGAUAUAUGGAGGAACACCAGUGGCGAAGGCGACGAUCUGGCGCAUAACUGACGCUCAGUCCCGAAAGCGUGGGGAGCAAAU
rnacentral:rRNA from 1 species